rnacentral:tRNA from 1 species
UAUUAGCCCUAGAAACUUAGGAUUAGCUAUUAAACCGCUGGCCUUCAAAGCUAUUAAAAAGGGUCUAACCCUUAGUUUCU